CACAGCUUGAACUUAUGAACUAUGAGAUCAUGACAUGAGCUGAUGUUGGGUGCUUAACUGAGCCACCCAGGCACCCCUUAAAAACACAUUCUUAAAAAUCUAUUACCUACUUCAUCAGGAUAAGGGGCAAAGAUUAAAGGGAGCAGAAUGGAAGCUAACUUUUUUGAGUAUCUGUUGGCAACAGGAAACUGGCCGAAUACACAUUGCUUCCUUUAUCUUCAGAAAGAAGCACUUUCAAGUAAAUAUGAACAUUACCAUUUUAUCCUCGCCUUAUGUUGACAAAGCAGAAAACUUAAUUAAUUUACCCAAAGUUAUGCAACAGGUCAUAGGCAGAGCUAGGAUUUGAAAUCAUGAUUAACUUUGUCUGAAGCCCACUCUCUCUGAAAAGAAGAAAGUGAAAUUCAAGCUUAUUUGGGGUUUUCUGGUUAGCCAACUCAGUUCAAGUUUUGGUCAAGGAGGAAUUAAAAUCAGGGCCCUAAAUGGUAUUUCUGGACCAUCUGAGAAACAUCUGAGAGACACCCAUGUCUCUCUACAUCUGGGAAUAAAAAUAAAUCAGGUAAGUUUUAAUAUAGAAGCUAGUUUGAAAGGAAUAUGACAGAUUUUGCCAUUAUUUACUCAGGAGUUCCUUUCCCUUUAGAUUUUUGAAAAGCACUGAUGUGACAAGAAGUAUUUGACCCUUGACUAGCCCAGACAGAAGAAAGAUACAGAUGAGGACAACCAGCACAGAGCAGGAGUGCAGUGAAAAAGAGAAAGAAGAGGGCUGAGCAAUCUUUGUCCAGAACUGCUGAAGACUCACAUCUUGGAUAAUGAGAGAGCUAUGGCUUUACAAAUAACUCAAUGGAUAUCUGUCUUCUCCAUGAGGCUGAAGACUGAAGGAAUCACAUCUGUCUUUUGAUUUUUAAAUCCCCAGUGUCUAGCAGAGCGCUUGAUAUGUGGUAGAAGCUCAUUAUAUAUUGGUUGAAUAAAUGCAUGAAAAAAAAAUAGAAUACCCAUACUCAAGGAUGUUUUGGCUUAGAAUUGAUUCACUAUCUCAAAUGCAGCUGGAUUGUUGCCAUUGAUUUCUAGGGAUAUUUUAGCCUGAUGAGUGAAAAAGCUUGAGGGGGCACUUGUUUCCAAAAAAGAUCUAAUUUAUCCUCUUCCCUUCCAUUCCUGACCAGUUUGCAACUUUUUUUUACCAUAUGCAAUCCUUAUUAAAUUUAAAAAGUCUCAGAAUUUCCUAGUAGCUUGAUACUUUCAAAUAUAACUCCUAUCAUAUGAAAUAUUAGAAAAAUUAUAGAAUGUACCCCUGCCCUCCCCCCACCACCUUCUUUUGAGACCUACUACCUUUCUUCUUUAGGUUGCAAUCUGGAUUUCUCAAAAGUCUGCUAAAGUUUUAUUUGGCCUAUAGUUUGCAUGGAUUCUCCCCACAUGUUUUCUACCCCACCCUUAAAUAAGGCCAACACAGGUUGACUUUUGCUUAAGCUAAUUUUCAUCUCUGUGCAACAAUUAAGAUUUAUUCACCAGAGAUUAUGACCAAUAAACACCACUAACUUUAAACCAUAUCCUUUCUCCUGUCCAAUACAUCCCAAAGUUUGUUGAGUUGAUGAGUAUUAAUUUAUUCAUUCAUGUUCCCACCUGUGCAUCUAAAUUUAGACACAUUUAUUUGGUCAUAGGAAAAUUAUAGUGAGAGAAAGGUUAGGGUGUAAUGGAUUAAACAUGCAACAUUUAGGUUUUAAGGAAAUUCUUCAAAUACUAACCCAACCAAGAACUCAAGCACAGGAUCAGUGUCAUUAGUUAGAAUGAGCGAAUAGACAAUGAGCUGACCAAUUAUAAAGAUUAUUCUUGAAUUUUAUAAUGAAAUACUCUUUGCUUCUUGUCCAUAUCCUUAGUAAAAUUGUACGGAGACUGCAGAGCAGGUGCUCAACAGGUAUGCUCUUAAAAAGUGUUGAUUGCCAUAUCGAUCACUAUAACUAUUUAGGCUUAGUCCUGAAAGCUAUUCAUUCCUUUGUUUAUUUGUUCUAAUCAGCAUCAUUCUGAGUGCUAUUAUACUGCCUUGUAAACAAUAUUGUUUUGCAACCUUAAAGUCAGUAAUUCUGUAGAAAUUAAAUUGGGUUUACAGUAAAUCCAUGAUUACCAUAUAAUCUGUGGAGUCUAAAUAAUGAUGUACUUAGCUGUAGAAUUGCAUGUAAAACACAGAGCGAUGAUUACAUGGCUAUUUGGGGCCUAGGAAAGAAAGCGAUGCCAAAUGUUUUGAUGGUUGAAGAGCUGAGAAAUCUUUUUGUUUUUAAUGUUUCAAUUUAAAUAUUAUCUUUAAACAUCUUGAUACUACCCUAGAUGCCUUAAAAAUGGCUUUAAAAUCUACUACUAAAUAUUAUGCCUUACAUUGUAUGUUGCGAGCUGUUUAAUAAAUUAAGACUUGUUACAAAUAGAAAAUCCAUCUGAUCUAAGGUGACAAUGGAAAAAACUAAGCAGGCUUGCCUUUAGCAAAUAAUUCAUCUCUGUUUUAAGGGGAUCUUUCAUGAAAGUGUUCAGUUUAAGCUUUAAGCAAUGUUUUUAGACAAAAGAACAAUUAGUCAAAUGAGCAUUUCAUCCAAGGGCUCUUGCCUUGCAGUUUUUCUAAAGGUCUCAGUCAUGACUAGACAUGCUCUUAAUUAAGUUAAAUCAAUGUAUAUUGCUCUCCUAAUACAGCCCAAGCUCUGAGCCAUGGUAAUUACUGAAUCUUGCAGAGUGGCCCACAGAGAUAUCUACAGAGGUGAUAUGAUUGGUCAAAGUCAUACCAUUGCUUCAUGGCAGAGUUUCGUCUAAAACUGAUAUGUCUUACCUCCUAAUCCAGAGUCUUCCACACUACAUCAAGCCCUGUAGAGAAACCACCAUAAAUUAGAUGUAGACCCCACUCUUAAGGGGCUGAAAAUUUAGUAGAGAAUAUGAGACAAGAAGAGCCAAAAUAUCACAAUAACUAAAGAGUAAGAAAGCUAUCACAGAGGUGUUAUUGGGUAAUAAUGAGCAGCAUGGGACUGGCAUUUCAGUAGCCCAGAGAUUAAGCCAACUACAGGAAGAUGUGAUCUCCACUAAGACACUUACUAAUUCUAACCUUAAUUCUUUUUUCUGUAAAAUUAACAAGUAGGAUUGUUGUGAGGAUGAAGUGUAAUAAUCUGUGUAAGUUAAAUUCUUAGCACAGUGGUUGGUACAUGGGAAGAAUUCAGUAAAUUUUAAUUAUUAUUAAUGGAGGGGGAAAUUAUGAGAGUGUCAUUAGUGGGAAGGGACCACCAAAUUAGUACAACUGGGAAAGGCUAUGAGGAAAUAGCAUUUGUGAAGCAGGAAGGACAACCAUGGGCCUCAGAGUUGAAAGAGAAGGAGACGGUGACAUCUUCAGCAAAAUUGUAGUAUGUAAAUAUGGGAAAGUAACAAGGAAGAAAAAUGAGAGGCAUAGAAACAGCAUGCAAGGGGCG